rnacentral:rRNA from 1 species
GAUCAUGGCUCAGGAUGAACGCUGGCUACAGGCUUAACACAUGCAAGUCGAGGGGAAACGACAUCGAAAGCUUGCUUUUGAUGGGCGUCGACCGGCGCACGGGUGAGUAACGCGUAUCCAACCUGCCCAUCACUUGGGAAUAACCUUGCGAAAGUAAGACUAAUACCCAAUGAUAUCCCACGAAGGCAUCCGAAUGGGAUUAAAGAUUUAUCGGUGAUGGAUGGGGAGUGCGUCUGAUUAG